rnacentral:rRNA from 1 species
AACGAACGCUGGCGGCAGGCCUAACACAUGCAAGUCGAACGAUAAGCCACCUUCGGGUGGUGGACAGUGGCAGACGGGUGAGUAACGCGUGGGAACGUGCCUUUCGGGUUCGGAAUAACCCAGGGAAACUUGGGCUAAUACCGGAUACGCCCUUCGGGGAAGAUCAUGCGAAGAUCGGCCCGCGUCGGAUUAGCUAGUUGGUGGGGUAAGUGGCUCACCAAGGCGACGAUCCGUAGCUGGUCNGAGAGGAUGACCAGCCACACUGGGACUGAGACACGGCCCAGACUCCUACGGGAGGCAGCAGGUGGGGAAUAUUGGACAAUGGGCGAAAGCCUGAUCCAGCCAUGCCGCGUGGGUGAAG